rnacentral:rRNA from 1 species
GGUAGCUUGCUACUGAUCUUAGCGGCGGACGGGUGAGUAAUGCUUAGGAAUCUGCCUAUUAGUGGGGGACAACAUUUCGAAAGGAAUGCUAAUACCGCAUACGUCCUACGGGAGAAAGCAGGGGAUCUUCGGACCUUGCGCUAAUAGAUGAGCCUAAGUCGGAUUAGCUAGUUGGUGGGGUAAAGGCCUACCAAGGCGACGAUCUGUAGCGGGUCUGAGAGGAUGAUCCGCCACACUGGGACUGAGACACGGCCCAGACUCCUACGGGAGGCAGCAGUGGGGAAUAUUGGACAAUGGGCGGAAGCCUGAUCCAGCCAUGCCGCGUGUGUGAAGAAGGCCUUAUGGUUGUAAAGCACUUUAAGCGAGGAGGAGGCUACUUUAGUUAAUACCUAGAGAUAGUGGACGUUACUCGCAGAAUAAGCACCGGCUAACUCUGUGCCAGCAGCCGCGGUAAUACAGAGGGUGCAAGCGUUAAUCGGAUUUACUGGGCGUAAAGCGCGCGUAGGCGGCUAAUUAAGUCAAAUGUGAAAUCCCCGAGCUUAACUUGGGAAUUGCAUUCGAUACUGGUUAGCUAGAGUGUGGGAGAGGAUGGUAGAAUUCCAGGUGUAGCGGUGAAAUGCGUAGAGAUCUGGAGGAAUACCGAUGGCGAAGGCAGCCAUCUGGCCUAACACUGACGCUGAGGUGCGAAAGCAUGGGGAGCAAACAGGAUUAGAUACCCUGGUAGUCCAUGCCGUACGAUGUCUACUAGCCGUUGGGGCCUUUGAGGCUUUAGUGGCGCAGCUAACGCGAUAAGUAGACCGCCUGGCGAGUACGGUCGCAGACUAAACUC